AGAAGAAAUGAAAAAUAUUCUGGUGAGGACAAAGGCAACAGUAAAAAAAUUACAGCAUGUAAAAGCUAGAGAAUACGUACAUUAGCUAAAAAUUCAACUUGUUCCAAAAGCAUUUCAAAAGACAGAAAUACAUAUAGAGUUAUCAGAAAAUAAGACAAAAAUGUCCAUAAAUUUGUUUUUUUGUUACUCCCAGAGGAAUUCACUCUUGUUUUUCCAGAAACCUACCACUAUAUAAAGUAUAUUUAAUAGCAUUAGUAGACAGCACUACAGUCUCAUUGUGUGUAUAACGCACUGCUCCAUUUUCUAUGGAAGCAUUAUGGCACAGGUGAUUUAUGCCUGUGCCACAGAAAGGGCUAUUCUGUAGAAAUAUCACAGGAAAUGACACACGGGAAAUAAACCAACACAGACAUCUUACAAUCAUUUCCUAAGCUCUAGCACAGCAAUCUGCUGAGCUCCUGAAACAACCCAGAUGCUGCUGACGCAAGGAAUGAACAAGCACCAAAAAGGCCUCCCUCUUCCCAGGCUUCUGGGUCCCAAGAGGAGAAAAGGAUGAACGAGGCAACAAGAUAUGCUGCGGAGACUUCAAAGGAACAGCAUUUCUGGAAAUCACAUGGCUCGCGCUCUUAUAAGACAUCUAAACUGCUCAAGGCAUGAGCAUGCAAAGAAGAAAUACUGACUCAGUUUUGAAGUGAGGAUUCUCAUUACCCACUACCCAUGAUUUUCUUUUCUGGAUCUCCAGUUUCUGAGACUAUUUUGAUAUCCUAUUAAAUAUUAUCCUGUACUACACAGUCAAUGAUUUUAAAAUGUCAUUCUCCAAUAUGAACAUAUAACAUGGUUUUCAAGAGCCUACUCUAUAUGCAAAUUCAGCUGAGGAUUGUAGGCAAUAUUUGAUGUACAUAAUUUCAAGAAAAAAAAGAGACCUCUCUGAUAUAUCAGGGUAGAAGACAUACACCAGUAGAUCACACUGCAAGAUUUACAGGACACAGGAAUAGUGGAGCACAAAUGACAGUCCAUUCUCAAUCAGGGAUGUACAUCUCUGAGUAAAGAGCAGCAGCUGUGAGGACAUUGAGCAAGGAUAUCCACAGACUGUUGAUGACAGUGCUAAGGCUCAGAUGGGAGAACAAGCAUCUAUCCAGACUAACAGUGACCUCAGU
rnacentral:lncRNA from 13 species